AGCAGCCGCGGUAAUUCCAGCUCCAAUAGCGUAUAUUAAAGUUGUUGCAGUUAAAAAGCUCGUAGUUGAAUUUCGGGAUCAAUUUAUUGGUCGUGCUAUUGUACGUACUGGUAUUAUUGAUUCCUACCUUCUGACGAACCAUGAUGUCAUUAAUUUGGUGUCUUGGGGAAUCAGGACUGUUACUUUGAAAAAUUAGAGUGUUUAAAGCAGGCUCACGCUUGAAUACAUUAGCAUGGAAUAACGAAAUAGGACGUUUGAUUCUAUUUUGUUGGUUUCUAGGAUCGACGUAAUGAUUAAUAGGGAUAGUUGGGGGCAUUAGUAUUCAAUUGUCAGAGGUGAAAUUCUUGGAUUUAUUGAAGACUAACUACUGCGAAAGCAUUUGCCAAGGAUGUUUUCAUUAAUCAAGAACGAAAGUUAGGGGAUCGAAGACGAUCAGAUACCGUCGUAGUCUUAACUAUAAACUAUGCUGACUAGGGAUCGGAUGAUGUAAUU
rnacentral:rRNA from 1 species